CUGAAAGAAUUCUUCUGAAUUAUCAUCUCAUUGCAAAGUUACACAGGACAAGUUUGGAGGUGCCCAGCUGCUUCAAAGGAACUGUCUGCAUUCACAAUCAAUCAAUCAGGUGGGGGUAGGAGCAUUCCUCCUGGCUCUUCUGCUCAGCCCUGGUACCUACAUUGAAGACCUUGAUGGAUCCACCUGAUCCCUUUCUAUAUGU